rnacentral:rRNA from 1 species
UCCCCCAGUAGUGGCGAAUGAAGCGGGAAAAGCUCAAGUUUGAAAUCCGGCGGGCAACCUCCGGAGUUGUAAGCUGAUGAGGUAUCGACCGACAUGGUCCGGGCCCAAUUUCCUUGGAACAGGAGGUCAUGGAGGGUGAGAACCCCGUCCGUGGCUCGGGUGCCAUUGUCCCUGUGUCGUGCCCUCUAAGAGUCGGGUUGUUUGGGAAUGCAGCUCAAAAUGGGUGGUAAAUUUCAUCUAAAGCUAAAUAUUGGCGAGAGACCGAUAGCAAACAAGUAGAGUGAUCGAAAGAUGAAAAGUACUUUGAAAAGAGAGUGAAACAGUACGUGAAAUUGUUGAAAGGGAAGCGUUUGGCAUCAGCCCUUGGCGUCCGUCGAACAUCCAGGCUUCUGUCUGGUGCACUCGUCGGCCGUCGGGCCAGCGUCGGCUCUGCCCGUCGGAGAAAGGCCUGAGGGAUGUGGCUCACCUUCGGGGGAGCGUUAUAACCUCGGGUGUCAUGCGAUGUGGUGGGGCCGAGGUCCGCGGACUUUGUCCUAGGACGCUGGCGUAAUGGUUCCAAGCGACCCGUCUUGAAACACGGACCAAGGAGUCUAACAUCUAUGCGAGUGUUUGGGUGUCAAGCCCGUCCGCGCAAUGAAAGUGAAUGCAGGCGGGAGCUGUAAAAGGUG